GGCAGGUAUGAGCACACGACAAAAUGAAGGUCUACAAGAAGAAAACCACUUGCAGGGCUACCUUGUGGCAUGAAAGACAAGACAGGAAGAAGGAAUGUGAACAAAUAUGAGAUACUCAACAUGGAUGAUGUAGCUGUCAAGUCAUGUACUGAAGGUCUUUCCAGUAGAGAAGAUAACAUUGACAUUUCAGUGAUAAAUGGAACUGAAGAAAUCAGCAUGGACAUCAGGACAGUGAAGGAAGAAGUUUGGUCAAAUGUGUAUCAUCAUGGCAAGGU